GUUUGUGAUCUUGUGUUCAAGUUAACUGUUCUCUUGGUAUUUGUUUAAUACCCUGCACAUAUCUUUGAUUGAAACCCUUAGUACGUGUGGCUCAGUCACUUCUUGGCUGAGGUGAGAACAUGCCUGUGGAAGACAAGUCUGUGGCUUGGUGAGCCUGUGUGACCAGCUGUCUCUGAUCUGUGCAGGGUAUUAAUGUUUUUUUUUUUGGUAUGCAAUUCUUGAUUCUUUAAGAGGUGACAACAAAUUUUGGUUUUCUACUGUUAUGUGAGAACAUUAGGCCCAAGCAACAAGUCAUUGCGUAAGAAAACGUAGAGUGCUACUGCUGUUUAAAAAAAAAAAAAAAAGGUGCUGGGUUGGAGGAUACUGCAUUUUUUUGCUAUUAUUGGAGACACAGUCUUGUUCUGUUGCCCAGGCUGGAGUGCAGUGCUGUGAUCUCAGCUCACUGCAACCUCUGCCACCUGGGUUGAAA
rnacentral:lncRNA from 10 species